AUGGAUGAUCCCAUGGGUAGUGAUCCCAACCGGUUAAAUUUCGAUACUAGUGAUCUAGAUGUGGACAUCCCCGAGUGGAUGGAUCCUACAGCCCACAAUACCACCACAUACCCCUCUUCCGACGAGUAUGUAGCGUCCGACAGCCAAUCCACUACCCAGUCUAGUACCUCCACCUCCAUCGGCACAAAGAGGGUUCGGCGCAAAACCUCAGCAUGCUGGGACCAUUUCAAAGAAGAAAUAGUCGUGGAGGACGGCGUCAACGUGUUGAAAGCUCGGUGCAAGAGAUGCGCCCGCUUGCUUUCCACGGGGGGGCAAGGAGGAACCGGCCACCUCAACAGGCACAUCCUCAAGCACGAGAAAGCGGACAAGCAGUCUGCGGGGACACAGGCCACGCUCAAAUUCAACCCAGACGGUACGCGGCCUCCACCAGCACCAACUGGAAAAAAGAAAGGAGCGUGGAGCAAGUUAUUUGGUUCUUCCACCUCUGCCCCGAGCUCUUCCACAUCAGGACCAUCGCCUGUGCUUUUAGGUGGUGGGGAGUUAGCGAAGUACCUCAACAGCGACAAAGUCAGCUUCAAUGAAGAUGAGGACGACGACUUUGACAUAAUUCAGUGGUGGCAUGAACACAAGGUUACAUAUCCGGUGCUUUCCAUAUUAGCACGGGAUGUGUUAUCAGUACCUGUCUCAUCUACAUCAUCAGAGUCUGCUUUCAGUCUAGCUGGAAGAAUACUUGAGGAAAGAAGGACGAGUCUCACCCCGGAUAUGGUGAGAACGCUCAUGACCGUGAAAGACGGAGAACUAGCCAGAAGAAGAGGCCAACACACUGCGGAAAACAACGAACUGAUGGCCACGUUCGAAGAUCUUGCACUCGAAGACGAAGAGAACGAAGAGUAG
rnacentral:rRNA from 1 species